GUAUAGUCAGGGAAAUCCCUGAGAAUUUGCUGACCUCAAAGCUCAAAAAUGUGACUGUGGAUCCAUAAGAGAAGGAGAGUGCAUCUUUGUGGAAACUUACCUGAAAGCCCAGAGGAGAAACAACAAGAAGGUGUUAGACUUAAAGUGGCCCAACUUUCACGUGCUUCCUGAGCAUACACUGCUGAAGACCCCUGCUCCCGCAUGGAAAAUGUUUCCAGAUAGUUCUGCUUCUCCACAAGACAAGAAAGGCAGAGGACUCAGUUGACCGGCUUCCUUUCCUUUAGGCCUGGCUUCUUAGCACUCACUUUGGAUUUAAAGAAAUGCAAAGCACCGAUAUCUAUCAGAGAUCUCCUUCCAACUUGACCGCUGGUCUCGCUGCCUCCUGGCUUCCCUGUUCUUCCCUGCCCGUUUCCCUGAGUGACAGUGGACAUAUUCACUAUUCGUGACCAAGCUCUUGUCUUCGGACAUUACAGGUGCCUUUGCGAAACAAAUACUAUAUUUAAUUUUUUCAGGAUAAUAAGGAUAUUGAAAUAGGCUAUGAGUAGAA